rnacentral:tRNA from 1 species
GUUUUAAUAAUUUAAUAAAAAAUAUUGGUCUUGUAAACCAAAAAUAAGUAUACACCUUUUAAAACU